rnacentral:rRNA from 1 species
GACGAACGCUAGCGGCGUGCUUAACACAUGCAAGUCGAACGAUGAAGCCGGAGCUUGCUCUGGUGAAUUAGUGGCGAACGGGUGAGUAACACGUGAGUAACCUGCCCUUGACUCUGGGAUAACUGCGGGAAACUGUAGCUAAUACCGGAUACGACCCUCGGCGGCAUCGCCAGGGGGUGGAAAGAAUUUCGGUCAAGGAUGGACUCGCGGCCUAUCAGCUAGUUGGUGAGGUAACGGCUCACCAAGGCGACGACGGGUAGCCGGCCUGAGAGGGUGACCGGCCACACUGGGACUGAGGCACGGCCCAGACUCCUACGGGAGGCAGCAGUGGGGAAUAUUGCACAAUGGGCGCAAGCCUGAUGCAGCAACGCCGCGUGAGGGAUGACGGCCUUCGGGUUGUAAACCUCUUUUAGUAGGGAAGAAGCGAAAGUGACGGUACCUGCAGAAAAAGCACCGGCUAACUACGUGCCAGCAGCCGCCGUAA